AGAGUUUGAUCAUGGCUCAGGAUGAACGCUGGCGGCGUGCCUAACACAUGCAAGUCGAGCGAACCCUUCGGGGUGAGCGGCGGACGGGUGAGUAACGCGUGGGUAACCUGCCCUGUACACACGGAUAACAUACCGAAAGGUAUGCUAAUACGAGAUAAUAUAUUUUAAUCGCAUGGUUAAGAUAUCAAAGCUCCGGCGGUACAGGAUGGACCCGCGUCUGAUUAGCUAGUUGGUGAGGUAAUGGCUCACCAAGGCGACGAUCAGUAGCCGACCUGAGAGGGUGAUCGGCCACACUGGAACUGAGACACGGUCCAGACUCCUACGGGAGGCAGCAGUGGGGAAUAUUGCACAAUGGGCGAAAGCCUGAUGCAGCAACGCCGCGUGAGCGAUGAAGGCCUUCGGGUCGUAAAGCUCUGUCCUCAAGGAAGAUAAUGACGGUACUUGAGGAGGAAGCCCCGGCUAACUACGUGCCAGCAGCCGCGGUAAUACGUAGGGGGCUAGCGUUAUCCGGAAUUACUGGGCGUAAAGGGUGCGUAGGCGGUCUUUCAAGCCAGAAGUGAAAGGCUACGGCUCAACCGUAGUAAGCUUUUGGAACUGUAAGACUUGAGUGCAGGAGAGGAGAGUGGAAUUCCUAGUGUAGCGGUGAAAUGCGUAGAUAUUAGGAGGAACACCAGUGGCGAAGGCGACUUUCUGGACUGUAACUGACGCUGAGGUACGAAAGCGUGGGUAGCGAACAGGAUUAGAUACCCUGGUAGUCCACGCCGUAAACGAUGGAUACUAGGUGUAGGGGGUAUCGACCCCCCCUGUGCCGGAGUUAACGCAAUAAGUAUCCCGCCUGGGGAGUACGGUCGCAAGACUGAAACUCAAAUGAAUUGACGG
rnacentral:rRNA from 1 species